UUUGAACCUAAAUAAUUUGGCUGUGCUUUAAUCUAUUUAGAGGAAUCUGUCCCUUAAUCGAUAAUCCCCGUUAUAUCUAGCUUUAUUUGGUGAUCAGUCUGUAUAUUUCCGUUAUAAAUUAAUUCUUUUAGGUUAUUAAUUUAAUAAUUCAUUAAUUAUUAUUUCAGGUCAAGGUGCAGCUAAUAAUAAAGUGGAGAUGGGUUACAAUAUAUUUAAUAUAUGGAUUUAUUAUUGAAUAAUUUUAAUGAAGGCGGAUUUAAUUGUAAUUUUAAUUAUAGAGUUAUUUUGAUUUUAGUUCUAGAGUGAGUACACAUCGCCCGUCGCUCUA
rnacentral:rRNA from 1 species